rnacentral:lncRNA from 1 species
UCCUGUCAAAAUAGAUGCAUCAUCAUAUGUUAACAAGUAAAACAUUUUUGUUCAACAAUUAUUUCAUGUCUUAUCUUUCAUUUCUCCUUUCAUAAUCACAUGAUUUUUAACAUUUUGUUUCUGGUUCUGGACUAUCCAAUUCUAUACCUCAGUCAUCAUCUGGAUCGAAUCUACUUAAAAAGUCUUUCAAGACUGUCCCAGGAUGAGCUCCUGGCUGGCUGUCCCACGUACCAAAGCCCGUGAGAGGCUGUCCCAGGUAUAAGCUCCUGGCGGGCUGUCCCAGGCAUGAGCUCCUGGCCGGCUGAUCCACCUGUAAGCCAGCGGGGGCUGUCCCAGGCAUAAGCUCCUGACGGGCUGUUCCACAUGACAAGGCUAGUCCAUACCAUACAUCUCUUUCUUUUUAAUUUAAUCAUUAUGUAUUAAUUUCAUCAAAUCAAUUCUGUCUUGCAUUAUGAUCAAUUCAGAUAUGUCAUAUCCAUAUAAUCAUGCCAUCAAUCUCUGAUACAUAUAUAUUGAUAUAAUAUACUCAUGCUCAAAUCAAAUAAUAGUAUCUCAGAUAUAAUAAAUUCAUCGAUCUCAAAUCCGAUGAUGCAAAACCAAUGAUGCAAAACCAACAGUAAAAUAGCAUAUAUAUAAUAGUGAUCAUGUAUAGGGAUUCUUACCUUUAUCGGUGACUGAUCCAAGCA